rnacentral:lncRNA from 1 species
AGCCGGUGCUCUGCUGCUGGAGAGUGUCAUCAGCGGCUCCGUGCCAAAGAGCAUUGGCGAGACUGCGCUGCUGCUGCAGGUGCCAGAGCUGCCCAUCCUGCCUGCUGGGCCAUGACUCCCAUGCUGGGAGCCCAAAAGGGGGGUUCUAUGGCCUGACCACCCCCUCCCUGCCUCUCCCCAGGACUUCAGAGAGCGUUACGUGCAGACAGGCGCAGGGCGACUCUCAGGGGGCUCGGUGCAGAGCUUCCUGCAGGAUGGACGCAUCAUCCGUGUCCGCUGCAAUCACACCAUCAUCUACAACCCCUCCGUAGAUCCGCAGCCCCCCUUGGUGCAGCACGUCCGGGCCAGCGCCGUCAAAGCCUCCUAUGACCCGGCCUCCGAGGAGCUGUGCUUCCAGCUCCGUGCCUCGCUUGAUGCGGGGGCUGAUGGAGACCAGUGCCCACCAGGAUUCCUCCUGGGCCCUGGACAGCCAUACUGCAUCGGUAUGGACCUUCCUGAGGGGGACACAAGGAUGGCGAGGAGCACCUGCUGCGUGGUGCCACCUCCCUGUCCCCCCAACUCUGUCCCCCCAACUCUGUACCCUCUCUGCUCCCCAGAUAUCGAUGAAUGUGCUGAGGGAUCCCACGCCUGCCGCUACAACCAGCUCUGCCAGAAUGUGGCAGGGACCUAUCGCUGUGACUGCCCUCCUGGCUACCACUCGCUGGGUGCUGGCUGGCCAUGCCUGGACAUAAACGAGUGCCUGCGCUUUCCUCCGCCGUGCGCCUUUAAGUGCCGCAACCUGCGGGGCUCCUACGAGUGCCUGUGCCCCCCUGGCAGGACCCUGCUACCGGGUGGAGAU